GGCGUCCGAGUUGUAAUUUGUAGAGGAUGCUAUUGGGUUGCCACCGGUCUAAGUUCCUUGGAACAGGACGUCACAGAGGGUGAGAAUCCCGUAUGUGACCGGCCAGGCGCCUUCUGUAUAGCUCCUUCGACGAGUCGGGUUGUUUGGGAAUGCAGCCCUAAAUGGGAGGUAAAUUUCUUCUAAAGCUAAAUACCGGCCAGAGACCGAUAGCGCACAAGUAGAGUGAUCGAAAGAUGAAAAGCACUUUGGAAAGAGAGUUAAAAAGCACGUGAAAUUGUUGAAAGGGAAGCGCUUGCAAUCAGUCUCGACGGCGGCUGUUCGGCCUCUCUUCUGAGUGGUUUAUUCAGUCGCCGCCGGGCCAGCAUCAGUUUUGGCGGUCGGAUAAAGGCGCGGGGAAUGUAGCUCCUCCGGGAGUGUUAUAGCCCCGCGUGCAAUACGGCCCGCCGGGACUGAGGUCCGCGCUUCGGCUAGGAUGCUGGCGAAAUGGUUGUAAGCGGCCCGUCUUGAAACACGGACCAAGGAGUCUAACAUCUACGCGAGUGUUUGGGUGUCAAACCCGUGCGCGCAAUGAAAGUGAACGGAGGUGGGAACCGCAAGGUGCACCAUCGACCGAUCCUGAUGUCUUCGGAUGGAUUUGAGUAAGAGCGUAGCUGUUGGGACCCGAAAGAUGGUGAACUAUGCCUGAAUAGGGUGAAGCCAGAGGAAACUCUGGUGGAGGCUCGCAGCGGUUCUGACG
rnacentral:rRNA from 6 species